rnacentral:tRNA from 1 species
GGGCCCUUAGCUCAGCGGUCAGAGCAGAGGACUCAUAAUCCUUUGGUCGAAGGUUCAAAUCCUUCAGGGCCCACCA